AUACGUAGGUGACAAGCGUUAUCCGGAUUUACUGGGCGUAAAGGGCGUGUAGGCGGUCUUGCAAGUCAGAAGUGAAAUUCCUGAGCUCAACUCGGGCGCUGCUUCUGAAACUGCGGGACUUGAGUGCUGGAGGGGAUAGCGGAAUUCCUAGUGGAGCGGUAAAAUGCGCAGAUAUUAGGAAGAACACCGGUGGCGAAGGCGGCUUACUGGACGACAACUGACGCUGAGGCGCGAAAGUGUGGGGAGCAAACAGGAUUAGAUACCCUGGUAGUCCACACCGUAAACGAUGGAUACUAGGUGUAGGAGGUAUCGACCCCUUCUGUGCCGGAGUUAACACAAUAAGUAUCCCACCUGGGGAGUACGGCCGCAAGGCUGAAACUCAAAUGAAUUGGCGGGG
rnacentral:rRNA from 1 species